GACGAACGCUGGCGGCGUGCCUAAUACAUGCAAGUCGAGCGAAUCAGUGGGAGCUUGCUCCCUGAGAUUAGCGGCGGACGGGUGAGUAACACGUGGGUAACCUGCCUGUAAGACUGGGAUAACUUCGGGAAACCGGAGCUAAUACCGGAUACGUUCUUUUCUCGCAUGAGGAGAGAUGGAAAGAUGGUGCUGCUAUCACUUACAGAUGGACCCGCGGUGCAUUAGCUAGUUGGGGAGGGGACGGCUCACCAAGGCGACGGUGCGUAGCCGACCUGAGAGGGUGAUCGGCCACACUGGGACUGAGACACGGCCCAGACUCCUACGGGAGGCAGCAGUAGGGAAUCUUCCGCAAUGGACGAAAGUCUGACGGAGCAACGCCGCGUGAGCGAAGAAGGCCUUCGGGUCGUAAAGCUCUGUUGUUAGGGAAGAACAAGUACGAGAGUAACUGCUCGUACCUUGACGGUACCUAACCAGAAAGCCACGGCUAACUACGUGCCAGCCGCCGCAGUAA
rnacentral:rRNA from 1 species